AGGGAUUGUGCUUACUCAGCCACGGAAACCCUAAUAUGAUAGGACAUGAUGGAGAAGUAAUAACCUGAAACGUCAUCUCCUCCCUAUGGGAGGCCCCAAUGGAGAUCGUAAUAGGGACAGUUUCAUGGGUUAUAAGCAGUUGUGUGAGUGGUCUACCAUCAAUAGCCUCUACAGCUAGCGGCGUAGGUCUCUCCCUGACCGGUAUCUCAUUACCCCUAAUAAACUGGACAUCAAUAAAAUUUCCAGCAGCACCUGAGUCCAUUAGGGCACUGCAAGAAAACUUCUUGUUAUCAAGGGAAAUAGAUACCUCAAGGAGG